UUGUAUGCCUGAUUCUCAGUUUGCUGUCAGCUGCAGAAAACCAUCCGUUGAUGUUUGGAAGCUGGUGUGGAAUCAACACGGCAGUGCAAACCUGGUGAAGGUGCUGACAUAUUCCGUGUCGGAUGUAAUGAUCCACCUUAUCUACUGCUCCAUCCUGAUUGGUGUGUCCCAAAGCUCCGUCAUAUAUAAUGUUGCGUACACGGAGGAAAACAAGUGGAACCAAAUGAUCCACACUUGGAAUGAAAACACACAAGUUCUGUGGCU